ACCGGCCAAUGGCACCGCCCCGUCCGCCCCGCUCUGGGAACGCCGCUCCAGCAGAUGUGACAUAGACUGGAAGUGAUGGACCCAGACAACAAUCAGAACCAAAGCACCAGAUGAGCCACCUCAGCCACGUGAGCCAUGCCAGCCACCCUACCUGUGACCCCAUCUGUGGCCCCAGUUAUCAUGGAGUAGAGCCCUUUCUCUGUCUACAAAACCAACUUCCUCGCCCAGCUCAUGGGAACACUUAUUCUGUUGUAUAGAAUGAAGUGUUGCUUGAUUCUAGAAUCAUGCCAUUAAGAACAUUCAUGAUUCAUGAGAGGAGAUCAAAAUAUCAACAUAAACAGGAGUUUGAAAGAAGUUGAUUUCAACCCUUGUGGAUGACUAUGAGAGAUUCAAGGCUUCAGUGGAGAAUGCACCUACAGAUAUGGUGGAAACAGCAAAAGAAAUAGAAUCAGAAGUGGAGCCUGAAGAUUAAACUGAAUUGCUGCAAUCUCAUGAUAAAACUUGAACAGAUGAGGAGUUGCUUCUUACAGCCGUCAACAUGUCAACAUCAAGCCUAGACCCUCCACCAGAAAAAGAUUACAAGUCUCCGAAGGCUCGGAUAAUCAUUAGUAUUUCUCAGCAAUGAAGUAUUUUUGAAUUAGGGUUCCUGGGCAGUGCAGUGGGAUGUCUGCUUGGUUUCUGCUGAUCCUCACAGAGCCUGGUGACUUCUUCCUCCCAGGUCUGUGGAUCAACACUGUCUCCCUGGCCUCUACCCAGCGCGCAGGACCCCUUAGCAGAGCAGGAGAACUCAGGAUCCAGCCAGCUGCCGGCACACUUUCGUCCUCCUCCGCACACGAGGAUCCCCAGGCCCAGCGGUGUUAGCCCAGAGAGGAGCGGCGUUUGGGAUGUGAUCCACAGCUGAUCCCUCGUGGCCCCUCCUCUCCCGAAUCCUGAAACAUGAGGAGGCCCUUCAGCUGCUGGCUCGGAGUCCGACUAUGGGAACUUUCUCCGGUCUACGGGGGCAGCAAGGGUCUCGCCUCAGGGACUUGGUUUAUUUAUCUAGCUGGACUCCAUCCCUUAAUAUCCUACUUACAGAGGAAGAGGCUUUAGCAGCUAAAUGCAGCCCCAUCCCCUCCUGUGGAGACUGUGAGCAGAAAAAGAACAGAUAUUUACAGAGGCCCGAGCCCCCCUUGUUGUUUUCUGCAAGGCUGUCGAGCUGGUGGAGCUUCAGGAUCCUGGUCAGGAACCCCGAACCCAGCGCUGGAGGCCCUGAAGAUCAGGGCACCCGACCCUCUUCCCAGCCGCCAAAGGCCUGUGUUGGUCUGAUUGUGGAUUCCAAGCUCUAAUUUCCAUCCAUCCUCCCAAUCCGAAUUCCCUUUGCAGACAUAAACACCAUCAGCAAUGUAGAGAAUGUGUUUCCUCAUCUUUGAAUAUUAACACUCAUCUGUUUAAUUGAGCUACUUUUUACAUACAUGUAAGAUGUGCUGCAAUUGCAAAAGAAACAUGUGCUUCGUGUUCUAUAAGCCAUAUCUUCCGCAAGACCUGCCAUCAAAUGAUUGCUCAAACAUUUGUUGAAUGGGAUGAGCAAUGGAGGUUCAGACAGGUGCCCUGACCUACCCAGGCUGGAGGGUAGGGAGCUAGAAAUUCAUACAACCAUGCCUUGUUCUACUUGUUUUGUGAAAGAAUCAUGUGACCAGUGACAAAGAGGCUGGGCAGCUGGGUCAGGCAGCAGGGACAGCGACUGAGCUGGGGGGACUACAGUGCUGUGCUCCUCUGCACCCGUGCUGGGAUGUCUGAGGCCAAGCUGACACUGGCCCCCCACAAUCCCUUGGGGCUGCUCCUCCUCAGGGAGUGGCUCUCCGGGUUUCCUGCUUGACUCCUGCUGCUCUUGUGUUGAAGGGCCGUCUCUGGGCAGCUCCCCCUGGCCCCUGGCCAGAGAGCCAGGCCCUGUCAGGCACGCACAUGGAGGAUGAGGGAGGUGCAGUUGUUUUCACAGGUGCAGACUCUAGAGGGACCCCACGUGGACUCUGUGGCUUCUGCCCCGACGCACUCGCGGGAGGACACAGCUCUGCCCGGAAGGGAGAGUGCUGAGCUGGGUCCCUGCUGCUCAUCUCUGUGGCAUCACCCUGUCAGUCCUUCCCUGUCACACAUAUGUUCCGCAAGACCUGCCGUCAAAUAUUUGCUCAGUCAAACAUUUGUUGAAUGGGAUGAGCCAUGGAGGUUCAGACAGAUGCCGUGACCUGAAGUGUCAAAUGAAGGGAUGCGUGUGUGAUGGCCUUCACCAUUUAUAUUGUUUUAAACUUGCUA
ensembl:lncRNA TMEM72-AS1 TMEM72 antisense RNA 1